rnacentral:rRNA from 1 species
UGCGUAGGUGGUCUAUUAAGUUGGAUGUGAAACCCCCCGGGCUUAACCUGGGAACUGCAUCCAAUACUGGAAGACUAGAGUGCAGGAGAGGAAAGCGGAAUUCCUAGUGUAGCGGUGAAAUGCGUAGAUAUUAGGAGGAACACCAGUGGCGAAGGCGGCUUUCUGGACUGUAACUGACACUGAGGCACGAAAGCGUGGGUAGCAAACA